rnacentral:tRNA from 1 species
GGCUACCUAGCUCGUGGGUCAGAGCAUCGCGCUCAUAAUGCGAGGGUCGGUGGUUUAAAUCCACCCGUAGCCACCA